rnacentral:rRNA from 1 species
GUAGGGUGCGAGCGUUAAUCGGAAUUACUGGGCGUAAAGUGUGCGCAGGCGGCUUCGCAAGUCGAGUGUGAAAUCCCCGAGCUUAACUUGGGAAUUGCGCUCGAAACUACGGAGCUGGAGUGUAGCAGAGGAAGGUGGAAUUCCACGUGUAGCGGUGAAAUGCGUAGAGAUGUGGAGGAACACCGAUGGCGAAGGCAGCCUUCUGGGCCAACACUGACGCUCAUGCACGAAAGCGUGGGGAGCAAACAGGAUUAGAUACCCUGGUAGUCCACGCCCUAAACGAUGAUGACUAGUUGUUGGAGGAGUUAAAUCCUUUAGUAACGCAGCUAACGCGUGAAGUCAUCCGCCUGGGGAGUACGGUCGCAAGAUUA